GUACUGUGCAGCUCAGUUGGUUAGAGCAUGGAGCUGAUAAUGUGAAGGUUGCAGGUUCGAUCCCCGCAUGGGACA
rnacentral:tRNA from 1 species